CACCGGAGCUUGCUCCACCGGAAAAAGAGGAGUGGCGAACGGGUGAGUAACACGUGGGUAACCUGCCCAUCAGAAGGGGAUAACACUUGGAAACAGGUGCUAAUACCGUAUAACAAUCGAAACCGCAUGGUUUUGAUUUGAAAGGCGCUUUCGGGUGUCGCUGAUGGAUGGACCCGCGGUGCAUUAGCUAGUUGGUGAGGUAACGGCUCACCAAGGCCACGAUGCAUAGCCGACCUGAGAGGGUGAUCGGCCACAUUGGGACUGAGACACGGCCCAAACUCCUACGGGAGGCAGCAGUAGGGAAUCUUCGGCAAUGGACGAAAGUCUGACCGAGCAACGCCGCGUGAGUGAAGAAGGUUUUCGGAUCGUAAAACUCUGUUGUUAGAGAAGAACAAGGAUGAGAGUAACUGUUCAUCCCUUGACGGUAUCUAACCAGAAAGCCACGGCUAACUACGUGCCAGCAGCCGCGGUAAUACGUAGGUGGCAAGCGUUGUCCGGAUUUAUUGGGCGUAAAGCGAGCGCAGGCGGUUUCUUAAGUCUGAUGUGAAAGCCCCCGGCUCAACCGGGGAGGGUCAUUGGAAACUGGGAGACUUGAGUGCAGAAGAGGAGAGUGGAAUUCCAUGUGUAGCGGUGAAAUGCGUAGAUAUAUGGAGGAACACCAGUGGCGAAGGCGGCUCUCUGGUCUGUAACUGACGCUGAGGCUCGAAAGCGUGGGGAGCAAACAGGAUUAGAUACCCUGGUAGUCCACGCCGUAAACGAUGAGUGCUAAGUGUUGGAGGGUUUCCGCCCUUCAGUGCUGCAGCUAACGCAUUAAGCACUCCGCCUGGGGAGUACGACCGCAAGGUUGAAACUCAAAGGAAUUGACGGGGGCCCGCACAAGCGGUGGAGCAUGUGGUUUAAUUCGAAGCAACGCGAAGAACCUUACCAGGUCUUGACAUCCUUUGACCACUCUAGAGAUAGAGCUUCCCCUUCGGGGGCAAAGUGACAGGUGGUGCAUGGUUGUCGUCAGCUCGUGUCGUGAGAUGUUGGGUUAAGU
rnacentral:rRNA from 1 species